rnacentral:tRNA from 1 species
UCCUCUGUAGUUCAGUCGGUAGAACGGCGGACUGUUAAUCCGUAUGUCACUGGUUCGAGUCCAGU